rnacentral:rRNA from 1 species
AGUGAACGCUGGCGGUAGGCCUAACACAUGCAAGUCGAACGGCAGCACAGUAAGAGCUUGCUCUUACGGGUGGCGAGUGGCGGACGGGUGAGGAAUACAUCGGAAUCUACUUUUUCGUGGGGGAUAACGUAGGGAAACUUACUCUAAUACCGCAUACGACCUACGGGUGAAAGCAUGGGAUCUUCGGACCUUGCGCGAUUGAAUGAGCCGAUGUCGGAUUAGCUAGUUGGCGGGGUAAAGGCCCACCAAGGCGACGAUCCGUAGCUGGUCUGAGAGGAUGAUCAGCCACACUGGAACUGAGACACGGUCCAGACUACUACGGGAGGCCGCAGUGGCGAAUAUUGGACAAUGGGCGCAAGCCUGAUCCAGCCAUACCGAGUGGGUGAAGAAGGCCUUCGGGUUGUAAAGCCCUUUUGUUGGGAAAGAACAGCAGCAGGUUAAUACCCAGCUGUUCUGACGGUACCCAAAGAAUAAGCACCGGCUAACUUCGUG